AUACUCUGCUUCAAACUCUGCAACUUCUGAUUUCUAUUACAAUAAAUAUUUCUUUUAACUUUUUGUGUACUGAUGAGGAAUUGUACUUGCUUGGUAUCAUGCUUUCAUCUGGCAAUUUUGCAUUUAAUAUAAAAAAAAGGAAAAUCCUAAGAGAGUAAUUCACCACUCUACUGGAAAAACUUCAUACUACCUUAUACCCUCAACUUAAUACUUGCAUAUUUAUAAUUUAUUUAUUAUUCUAUUCUAAAACGGUU